GUGCUCACUUUAGCCACACAUAUACUAAAAUUGAAACAAUACAGAGAAUAUUAAUAUGGCCCCUGCACAGGGAUGAGACACAAAUUAGUGAAGCAUUCCAUAGUUUU